UACGAAGGAUUCGAGCGUUAUCCGGAUUUAUUGGGUUUAAAGGGUGCGUAGGUGGACUAAUAAGUCAGUGGUGAAAGCCCGCAGCUUAACUGCGGAACUGCCAUUGAUACUGUUAGUCUUGAGUACAGUUGAGGUGGGCGGAAUGUGUCAUGUAGCGGUGAAAUGCUUAGAUAUGACACAGAACACCGAUUGCGAAGGCAGCUCACUAAGCUGUAACUGACACUGAGGCACGAAAGUGUGGGUAGCAAACGGG
rnacentral:rRNA from 1 species